rnacentral:rRNA from 1 species
AGCAGCCGCGGUAAUUCCAGCUCCAAUAGCGUAUAUUAAAGUUGUUGCAGUUAAAAAGCUCGUAGUUGAAUUUCGGGAUCAGUAGGUUGGUCGUGCCACCGGUAUGUACUGGCCUUGCUGGUUCCUCCUUCUUGAAGAACCGUGAUGCCAUUAAUUUGGUGUUGCGGGGAAACAGGACUGUUACUUUGAAAAAAUUAGAGUGUUUAAAGCAAGCUAACGCUUGAAUACAUUAGCAUGGAAUAAUAGAAUAGGACGUUCGAUCCUAUUUUGUUGGUUUCUAGGGUUGACGUAAUGAUUAAUAGGGAUAGUUGGGGGCAUUAGUAUUCAAUUGUCAGAGGUGAAAUUCUUGGAUUUAUUGAAGACUAACUACUGCGAAAGCAUUUGCCAAGGAUGUUUUCAUUAAUCAAGAACGAAAGUUAGGGGAUCGAAGACGAUCAGAUACCGUCGUAGUCUUAACCAUAAACUAUGCCGACUAGGGAUCGGAUGAUGUUAAUUUUUAAUGACUCAUUCGGCGCCUUAC